rnacentral:misc_RNA from 1 species
GACAAGGAUAGAGAGCAUAAGAAGCACAAGCAUCGACAUAAAGACCGAAGUAAGGAUAAAGACAAGGACAAGAAGAAAGACAAAAGUGCACAUCAAGAUUCUGGUGCUGAUCAUUCGAAGAAGCAUCAUGAAAAGAAAAGGAAGCAUGAUGGAGAAGAUGAUAUUAAUGACAUUCAUAGGCACAAGAAAAGUAAGCAUAAGACCUCAAAAAUUGAAGAAAUGGGAGUGAUAAAGGUAGCGGGCUGACAUUGUGGAAUAAUCUAGGUCAUUUAUUUCCUCGUAUGGUUGUAGAAAGAUUGGUGGAAUUUUCACUUAAUGUUGUCAAAAAAUACUUGAGAGUAGCUUCUGAUGAGGGUGAAUUUACCAGUUUUAGGGUAUGUGGAAGCAAAUGUAAAAAAAAAAUUUGGUGGAAAUGGACUUUUGUAUCAUAACAAACAAUGGGGUCUGAUAUAUAAAUAUGAGCGAUUUGCA